GACGAACGCUGGCGGCGUGCUUAACACAUGCAAGUCGAACGGAAAGGCCCCUUUGGGGGUACUCGAGUGGCGAACGGGUGAGUAACACGUGAGUAACCUGCCCUUGACUUCGGGAUAACUUCAGGAAACUGGGGCAAAUACCGGAUAGGAAUCCUUGCGGCAUGGUGGGGGAUGGAAAGCUUCGGCGGUUUUGGAUGGACUCGCGGCUUAUCAGCUUGUUGGUGGGAUAGUGGCUUACCAAGGCUUUGACGGGUAGCCGGCCUGAGAGGGCGACCGGCCACAUUUGGACUGAGAGACGGCCCAGACUCCUACGGGAGGCAGCAGUGGGGAAUAUUGCACAAUGGGCGGAAGCCUGAUGCAGCAACGCCGCGUGCGGGAGGACGGCCUUCGGGUUGUAAACCGCUUUCAGCAGGGGCGAAGCUUGUGGUGACGGUACCUGCAGAAGAAGCACCGGCUAACUACGUG
rnacentral:rRNA from 1 species